rfam:Oryza sativa Japonica Group DNA, chromosome 6, cultivar: Nipponbare, complete sequence.
AAUAAGUGUAGUUUUGCACUAUUUACGUUCAACGUUUGACCGUUCAUCUUAUUUAAAUUUUUUUUAUGAUUAGUAUUUUUAUCGCAUUAGAUGAUAAAACAUGAAUAGUACUUUAUGUGUGACUAAAUAUUUUCAAUUUUUUUUACAAAUUUUUUAAAUAAGACGGACGGUUAAACGUUCGGCACGGAUAUCCACGGCUGCACUUAUU